rnacentral:rRNA from 1 species
GAUGAACGCUGGCGGCGUGCCUAAUACAUGCAAGUCGAGCGAACAGACGAGGAGCUUGCUCCUCUGACGUUAGCGGCGGACGGGUGAGUAACACGUGGAUAACCUACCUAUAAGACUGGGAUAACUUCGGGAAACCGGAGCUAAUACCGGAUAAUAUAUUGAACCGCAUGGUUCAAUAGUGAAAGACGGUUUUGCUGUCACUUAUAGCUGGAUCCGCGCCGCAUUAGCUAGUUGGUAAGGUAACGGCUUACCAAGGCAACGAUGCGUAGCCGACCUGAGAGGGUGCUCGGCCACACUGGAACUGAGACACGGUCCAGACUCCUACGGGAGGCAGCAGUAGGGAAUCUUCCGCAAUGGGCGAAAGCCUGACGGAGCAACGCCGCGUGAGUGAUGAAGGUCUUCGGAUCGUAAAACUCUGUUAUUAGGGAAGAACAAAUGUGUAAGUAACUAUGCACGUCUUGACGGUACCUAAUCAGAAAGCCACGGCUAACUACGUG